rnacentral:rRNA from 1 species
UCGGAUCAGGUAGGGAUACCCGCUGAACUUAAGCAUAUCAAUAAGCGGAGGACCUGAG